rnacentral:rRNA from 1 species
GAUGAACGCUGGCGGCGUGCUUAACACAUGCAAGUCGAACGGAAAGGCCCAAGCUUGCUUGGGUACUCGAGUGGCGAACGGGUGAGUAACACGUGGGUGAUCUGCCCUGCACUUCGGGAUAAGCCUGGGAAACUGGGUCUAAUACCGGAUAGGACGAUGGUUUGGAUGCCAUUGUGGAAAGUUUUUUCGGUGUGGGAUGAGCUCGCGGCCUAUCAGCUUGUUGGUGGGGUAAUGGCCUACCAAGGCGUCGACGGGUAGCCGGCCUGAGAGGGUGUACGGCCACAUUGGGAGUGAGAUACGGCCCAGACUCCUACGGGAGGCAGCAGUGGGGAAUAUUGCACAAUGGGCGCAAGCCUGAUGCAGCGACGCCGCGUGGGGGAUGACGGCCUUCGGGUUGUAAGCUCCUUUCGCUAGGGACGAAGCGUUUUUGUGACGGUACCUGGAGAAGAAGCACCGGCUAACUACGUG